GCCAUGUCUAAAUCACAGAACAACUUAAUGCAUAUUUUUAUUUAAAUUUCCUUCCCAAUAUGUAUUGUUACUCCAAAUGCCAGCAUAUAGUACUAUGGUUUUGUUUUAUUUUUCAUUCUUUUUCUUUCUGUACACGUUCUUGGCAAUAGAACUUUAGGAAAAACAGAAUUAUUUUCUUAGACUUGAAAAAUAAUAAUCUGUCUUUGUGGAAGACCAAGUAUUCAUAUGGACUAUAAAUAUAUAAUUGGAAUAAAGAUAUUAACUUUCAUUAAUUGCCUGUCUCACUGGCGCUGUGCUAAGGGCAUGUUGUUUAAUCUUUAAAAUGACCAGACAUGAUUUUUAUAGACUUGUGGAUGAAAUAACUGAGAUAAAAACUGCCAAAUGGAAGAAAUUAAAAGCUCAUCCUCAGUAUUAGGCAAAGAAGUUUCUAAGAGUUGAUAACUACAAGAAUGGCAUAUAAUGAUGGACAUUUGGAUUGCUCAAAAUAUAUUUUACCAGAUUUCAUCCUUUGCCAUCAACCAGGGAGGUGUUAAAAGAUCAAGUAUUACAUACUCCUUCCAAAAGCAUUCUCCUUAUGUGCAAAGGGCAUUGUACUGGGCAAUAUGAGUAAUGGAGAUAAUACAGAUCCAGCCAUAAGGACCUGGAAGUAUGGAGGCAGAGUUCAGGUUAUCUACUUAGCUAAAAAUAUGAAAUGGCUAUGCUGCUGCGUUUCACAUAUCCUGAGUCAUGAGAGACGUUCAUGGAACAGUGGUUAUCAAGAAAUAAGCACAGAAAAGGGACGAACAAGAACGAGUGUGUCUUACUUCUUCUAGGGCCU